GACGAACCGUGCAAACGUUGUUCGGAAUCACUGGGCUUAAAGGGCGCGUAGGCGGCUUCGCAAGUCCGGGGUGAAAGCCCCCAGCUUAACUGGGGAAGUGCCUCGGAUACUGCGGAGCUCGAGGGAGGUAGGGGCGGAUGGAACUUCCGGUGGAGCGGUGAAAUGCGUUGAUAUCGGAAGGAACGCCGGUGGCGAAAGCGAUCCGCUGGCCCUCUACUGACGCUGAGGCGCGAAAGCCAGGGGAGCAAACGGG
rnacentral:rRNA from 1 species